GGCCUCCCAAUUUUUACCAUAGGCUGUGUUCUUUACACUGACUGUACAGAAAGAGGAGGACAAUAAAUGCACCCCAUAUACACCUCAACACAGUCUUCUUUGCCUGGUUUGUAUUGUGAAUUGGGGACCAAAA